GGUAUCUAGAGACAAUGGAAGGAGAAGGUUACAUAAGAAGAUGGAGUGAGAAGAACAUCUUUAUUGAUUGGUCAGACUCAGAGAUGUCUCCAGCACUCUUCCCUACAUAGUGGGAACUAAAAGAGAAGAGUCUGUAGAAACUGUGAGAGAACUUCGAUUAAACUGAUGACAUGUGAAAUAGAAGAGACAUAUGAGACAUUACUAAAUGAUUAGGUUGAAUUUUGAAGGGCUGAGGUAGCCUGGAGAAUUGUGAGAAGAUGGAGUUCCGCAUCUCUGUUGAGAAGUCAGGAUUUAUUGGUCUGCUUGCUGGACUCAUUCAAGCUCCAUAUUCAUUAAAUUUGGAAAAUAUUUCUCAAAGGACUUUAAGAAUAUUCCAAGGCUAGGGACUAUCAAUAUUUCACAAAUUUCUAUUUUGAUUAAAUGACCAUCGCCAGUAGAAGUAAACCCUUACUGAGAGAAAGUGUGUAAAGCAUGCUAACUCUAUUUCCUACUCUGGAGGAAAUGAAAUUAAAUUUGGAAAAUAUUUCUCAUAGGACUUUAAGAAUAUUCCAAGGCUAGGGACUAUCAAUAUUUCACAAAUUUCUAUUUUGAUUAAAUAACUACAUUGCCAGUAGAAGUAAGCCCUUACUGAGAGAAAGUGUGUAAAGCAUGCUAACUCUGUUUCCUACUCUGGAGGAUGGACAGCCAAAGACAAUGUAAUAUGAGAAUAAUCUAUUCUAACAAAGGUGUUCAUUGUGGACUUCUUGCUUAAAAAGACAUCGUUAAGAUAUUAAGUAAUGAAGUUAUUUGAAAGCUCAUCUCAAGUCCUUCAUAGAAUUUCUAUAAUUACAACUCAUCAGGAAGAUGACAAGUAUUUAACUCUAAAUGAAUGCUAUAAUCUAAUAUGCCUGAGAUUUCUAACACAGUGUGAGCUCUUACUCCAUGCUACUGGUAUUCAGAUGGACUAAGAGCUAAACAUUCUCCUUGCACUCAAAUUAGAAAAAUACUCCUCUGGUUAGCUUGGAACCAAAGACUUGUUUUGAAAAGAGAAUAUAAACAAAAAGCAAAAUAAAACUCCGAGCUAAUUUUCUUGCCUGGCAUUGAGAAGACUAAAAUUAGCUACAGCUAAUUUUCAAGCAAGAGGAGUGCUUUUAUGUUUCUCUAGACAAUUUGGUUUCAUGCUUUUUUGUGUGAGCUCCUCCCAAAUUUUAAGUUGUCAUUGUAUAAGAAUGUCUAGAGUCAAAGGAGUGGCUAUCUCAAUGAUUGCGUGCAUGUGCCCUACUAUCUGCACUAUCUUGUCAAGGGCAUUUUCUGGACCCAAAUAUAAAAUUCAGCUUCUGGUUGAAUAUAUUGCUUAUUGAAAUGUUUAUUCUGUAGUCCUUUACUGAAGUUUCUUUGUUUCUAUGAUAUACUAUGCCCAUUACUGUUCAUUUACAACCUUAGUGUUUUGGGUUGAUAUUUUUUAAUGUUGAGAACUCCACCCUUUUACUGCCUUUUACCUUUAGAAAUGUUUAUUUCAGGUAUCCAAAAAUAUACAACAAGAUAAUCCAAUGAAUGCCAGUAUACCUACCGUGUGGCUUAAAUAAAAAGCAUAGUGUUAGUGCCCUUUCUAAAUUACAUCUCCUUUCCUCCUUCACUAAAGAUGACCACUCUCCGGAGUGGCUUUCUGUCAUUCUCAUGGAUUUAUUUACACGUUUACUAUGUAUUCAUAAAGAACACAGUAUAGUGCCACAGUGUUUUCACUUUCAUAUACAUAUUGUAUGUACUGUUCUGCAACUUGCUUUUCACACAGUAUUAUGUUUUUAAGAUUCAUGAGUGUUGAUAUGUGUAGCUAUAGUUUAUUUGUUUUCAGUAUUGUAUAAACACUUCAUGGUUUAUCUGUGC